UGCGUGAAAUAUGAAAUCUGUGCCCACUAUUGGCCUAAUUGAACUUCUCUCUUGUUUUCACUCCCAUUGUUUUCCUCUAAAGGGUCUUCUCUAUUCCAUUUUAGGGUCUUCUCUAUUCCAUUUUCUUUCUUUUGCGAUAUGGGCCCUUAGAUAUGCAUCUACUUUAACAAGAUUUUAUUCUUCAUCAUUGUGAUAGAGUUUACAG
rnacentral:misc_RNA from 1 species